rnacentral:tRNA from 1 species
AGAAAGAUAAGCUAAGUAAAGCUAAUGGGUUCAUACCCCAGCUAUAGGGAUUUACCCCUUUUUUCUG